rnacentral:rRNA from 1 species
GACGAACGCUGGCGGCGUGCCUAAUACAUGCAAGUCGAACGCUUCCUACCGGUGCUUGCACCGGGAAAGAAGAGUGGCGGACGGGUGAGUAACACGUGGGUAACCUACCUACAAGCGGGGGAUAACAUUCGGAAACGGAUGCUAAUACCGCAUAGAUCUUUUUGUCUCCUGGCAGAAAGAAGAAAGACGGUUUCGGCUGUCACUUGUAGAUGGACCCGCGGCGCAUUAGUGAGUUGGUGAGGUAAUGGCUCACCAAGACGAUGAUGCGUAGCCGACCUGAGAGGGUGAUCGGCCACACGGGGACUGGGACACGGCCCAGACUCCGACGGGAGGCAGCAGUAGGGAAUCUUCCGCAAUGGACGAAAGUCUGACGGAGCAACGCCGCGUGAGUGAAGAAGGUUUUCGGAUCGUAAAACUCUGUUGUUAGAGAAGAACAAGGAUGAGAGUAACUGCUCGUCCCUUGACGGUAUCUAACCAGAAAGCCAUGGCUAACUACGUGCCAGCAGCCGCCGUAA